rnacentral:misc_RNA from 1 species
GAACUGCGAUAAGUGAUGUGAAUUGCAGACGUAUACGAAUCAUCGAACCCUUGAACGCAUUCUGCGCCUCGAAGCUUGUCUUCGAGGCAUAUCUGGGUGAGUGUCGGUUUAACCUUCUUGCAUAUAAUUGCUUAUGCAGUCUUUGAUAGUAAAUCGUUAAGGUCUUCUAUUAAAAUAAAUCGAUACUCUGAUUAGAUUCUUCGGAAAUAGAGCAAUCCUCUUCUGAUUGGUUUGAAGUAACUCGUUACUAAUGGUCAUUCUGAAAUGGAUUGUAUUCUUAAUCUGGAAAAUCAUAGUCGAAUGGGUACAUGUUGGAUUAAGAAUCUACUUUUUAAUCAAACCAAACCUUCGACCUCACCUAGGUAAGAUUACCCGCUGAAUUUAA